rnacentral:rRNA from 1 species
AUUGAACGCUGGCGGCAGGCCUAACACAUGCAAGUCGAACGAGUGGCGGACGGGUGAGUAAUGUCUGGGAAACUGCCUGAUGGAGGGGGAUAACUACUGGAAAAGGUAGCUAAUAACGCAUACCAUCAGAUGUGCCCAGAUGGGAUUAGCUUGUUGGUGGGGUAACGGCUCACCAAGGCGACGAUCCCUAGCUGGUCUGAGAGGUUGACCGGCCACUCUGGAACUGGGACACGGUCCGAACUCCUACGGGGGCAAGCAGUGGGGAAUAUUCGACAAUGAGCACAAGCCUGAUGCAGCCAUGCCGCUUGUAUGAGGCGGGCCUUCGGUUUUUAAAGUACUUUCAGCGGGGAGGCGUUACCCGCAGAAGAAGCACCGGCUAACUCCGUGCCAGCAGCCGCGGUAAUAC